UACGUAGGGGGCAAGCGUUGUCCGGAUUUAUUGGGCGUAAAGAGCGUGUAGGCGGCCAUGUAGGUCCGUUGUGAAAACUCGAGGCUCAACCUCGAGACGCCGAUGGAAACCAUGUGGCUAGAGUCCGGAAGAGGAGGGUGGAAUUCCUGGUGUAGCGGUGAAAUGCGCAGAUAUCAGGAAGAACACCCGUGGCUAAGGCGGCUCUCUAGUACGGUACUGACGCUGAGACGCGAAAGCGUGGGGAGCGAACAGG
rnacentral:rRNA from 1 species